AUUCCAGCACUGAAAGAAAUGAAAAAAGAUUUGAAUAAAAGAAAUGCUCUGGGGAUUCAUGAACAGCCUCUGAAGAAUAUUUUUCCCGACUAGUCUUGCUGCAGAAAUAAAAACCUG